UCGGACAUGGUGUAGGGUACACCGCCUCUUUCCUUGGAAUACAAGGUCGCAAAGUCAGAGGUAGUUCGGGGUUCAACUCCCUGUGUUCGAA